rfam:Ciona savignyi cont_28264, whole genome shotgun sequence.
GGGGAUGUAGCUCAGUGGUAGAGCACACCCUUCGCAUGUGUGAGGCCCCGGGUUCAAUCCCCGGCAUCUCCA